CUAUGUCCUAUCAGCUUGUUGGUGAGGUAAUGGCUCACCAAGGCUAUGACGGGUAUCCGGCCUGAGAGGGUGAUCGGACACACUGGAACUGAGACACGGUCCAGACUCCUACGGGAGGCAGCAGUAGGGAAUAUUGCUCAAUGGGCGAAAGCCUGAAGCAGCAACGCCGCGUGGAGGAUGAAGGUCUUCGGAUUGUAAACUCCUUUUCUAAGAGAAGAUUAUGACGGUAUCUUAGGAAUAAGCACCGGCUAACUCCGUGCCAGCAGCCGCGGUAAUACGGAGGGUGCAAGCGUUACUCGGAAUCACUGGGCGUAAAGAGCACGUAGGCGGCCUUGCAAGUCAGAUGUGAAAUCCAACGGCUUAACCGUUGAACUGCAUUUGAAACUGCAAGGCUAGAGUAUGGGAGAGGUAGGUGGAAUUCUCGGUGUAGGGGUAAAAUCCGUAGAGAUCGAGAGGAAUACUCAUUGCGAAGGCGACCUGCUGGAACAUUACU
rnacentral:rRNA from 1 species